CUCGCAUUGAUUAGUUACCGUUGAUGUAUCAACUCAAAUGAUCGUGUACCUUAUGACUGAGUGGUGCCGGGGAUCGAACCCAGGGCCUUGUGCAUGCCGGGUGAACUCUCUACCACUCAGCUACACCCAGCCCAGGCUCACAUUCUUGGCUGCAUCUUAACUCGGUCAUCUACAAAGACUUUCUCCUGAGAGAGCUGCAGACGUAGCGUCCAUCAGUGGGAGAGUAACCCCGUAGAAGUCACUCUACUGCCCCCCACAUGAAGGAACUGACAUUUGUACAAGACCACAGCCCUGCCCAUCAGCCUGUCCAGGAGUAGCCAACUGCCCGGAUACUGCCUUUCACCUGUCACAGUUGCUAUCUAUGGAUUGGAUACAGUCGGAGUGAGUCUCCAGGGGUCUACCUGCUGAAGUCCAGUCCCUGCUGCAAGGCCCUGAGCCACCGUGAGGUGAGCAGCUUCUCUGCCCUGUGUUCCCUCCAUGAUGUCCUGCCUUGCCACAGGCCCGAAAGGAAUAGGGCCAGGCGGCUAUGGACUGAAACCUCCAAAACCUUGCUCGGGAAAUGCUGAAUGGACGCAUGAGUGGCAAAUUCGUAAUCCCUCCCGGAGGGCCAGGGUCGGAAAGAGCAACGAAGCCUCCGCCCAGGUUUCCAAUCCCAGCUGCGAUGCUCACGGGCUACAGAGCCUUGGCGAAGUUGCA
rnacentral:lncRNA from 1 species